rnacentral:rRNA from 1 species
UACGUAGGGCGCAAGCGUUGUCCGGAAUUAUUGGGCGUAAAGAGCUCGUAGGCGGUUUGUCGCGUCUGUCGUGAAAGCUUGGGGCUUAACCCCAAGUCUGCGGUGGAUACGGGCAGACUAGAGGCAGGUAGGGGAGAACGGAAUUCCCGGUGUAGCGGUGAAAUGCGCAGAUAUCGGGAGGAACACCGGUGGCGAAGGCGGCUCUCUGGGCCUGUACUGACGCUGAGGAGCGAAAGCGUGGGGAGCGAACAGG